AGCCAUGCAUGUCUAAGUAUAAAUAGUAUACAGUGAAACUGCGAAUGGCUCAUUAAAACAGUUAUAGUUUAUUUGAUAAUGGAAAGCUACAUGGAUAACCGUGGUAAUUCUAGAGCUAAUACAUGCUGUUAAACCCGACUUUUUGGAAGGGUUGUAUUUAUUAGAUAUUAAAGCCAAUAUUCCUUCGGGUCUAUUGUGGUGAAUCAUAGUAACUGAUCGAAUCCCUUUACGGGAUAAAUCAUUCAAGUUUCUGCCCUAUCAGCUUUCGAUGGUAGUGUAUUGGACUACCAUGGCAGUUACGGGUAACGGAGAAUUAGGGUUCGGUUCCGGAGAGGGAGCCUGAGAAACGGCUACCACAUCUAAGGAAGGCAGCAGGCGCGUAAAUUACCCAAUCCCGAUUCGGGGAGGUAGUGACAAGAAAUAACAACCUGGGGGACUUUGUCCUUACGGGAUUGCAAUGAGAACAAUUUAAACGACUUAUCGAGGAACAAUUGGAGGGCAAGUCUGGUGCCAGCAGCCGCGGUAAUUCCAGCUCCAAUAGCGUAUAUUAAAGUUGUUGCAGUUAAAAAGCUCGUAGUUGAACUUCUGUACGUGCCCGGUUCUGGCUUCGGUCAAGCUGCGGUGCGUGCAUCCGCUUGCAAACCUGGCCCGGCCUUUACUGGUCGACCAGGGGAGUAGGCCUUUUACUUUGAAAAAAUUAGAGUGUUUCAAGCAGGCAAUGGCUCGAAUACAUUAGCAUGGAAUAAUAGAAUAGGACUUUUGUCCAUUUGGUUGGUUAUUGGACAUGAGUAAUGAUUAACAGGGACAGUUGGGGGCAUUAGUAUUUAAUUGUCAGA
rnacentral:rRNA from 1 species